UCUUAGAAAGUUGCAGGGCAGGGGGUGGAGGGUGGGAUCUGAGAUCACCAAGUAGAGUGGGAGCAUCUUUUAGGAGCCCCGCUGCCGCUGCCAUUCCUCUCGGAAGCCAUGUCUUCUCAUCCUUUUCUCCAUAAGUGACUCUGUUCCCGCUUCAGACGGGCUUCGCCUGACACUUUUGCUCAUGUGGUCCUUGGUCAAGCAACGGCCAACGCAGGCCAGCAUCUCUCUGUCCAACUCCAGCUUCCUGAGUGCAAAUCUGAUGCCCAGCAUGGCGUGGGGUGAGGAAAAGAAGGUUUUGGAGCAGGGAGUGAGGUUACCUAGGGCUGGGGACUCCUUCUAAUGGUGUGACAGGAUGUGGGUCUGGCUGUUCUUCAAGCUGGGGUGGAAGGGGCUAUAGGCAGAUGUUUUUGGCAGUUAAUUGAGGGUAAUUGAGCAUUGAUGAUUUAACCACUAAAUGCUUUAAACAAAGUAUUCUUUUCCUUCCCAGAGUCUCGGGAUGUAACUCACCUGCUGGCUACUUGAGCUGAGUGUGGAAUUAGCAGGAACACAUCUCCUAAGGCUUCUCUUCUAGGAAUAAUUAAACAUGGCCUUAGAUGUUAGCUGCAGAUCACCCAGAGAGCUUGGAAGGAGCCGUUGGACAGUCACCAACACAGUGCUGCCAAUUGUCACUCCCACCCCGGCCUUCACACAGGGCCAGUCUCCUGCUUUCCAAACAUUUCUUCUAAUCAGGGCCAGCUUCAUCAUUCACAGGUCCCCGUGGGCAAUGAAAAUGCAGAGCCCCUUGUUGACAAGGCGUGUUGUCACCACCGCAGAGCUGGGCAAGGGUUUCCUCAAGCUUUCCCUGCCGGUCUUCCUUAUUUUUCAGUAACUUCUCUGCCCCUCCUUCAUUGUAUUUUGUAUCUUUUUCUAGAUUUCUUUUGGCAAAAAGCAACGCACACUUUUUGAGGACCUGCUUUUCCCAGAGAACAGCUUCACAAAGCCCUAACCAAUUUGGUUUAGGAUGUUUGGUUAGUUCAAGAUGCGCAAUGGCAUGAAGGAGCCCAGGAGCCCUCCUCCAUUUGAAAACACUGCUCUCUCAAAGUUAACGGUUAGUGUCUGAACUUUGAGAGAGCGACGUUUUCAAAUGGAAGAGGGCUCACUUUACCUGAACAGAGAACCAAAGAGCUGAGUCACAGAGAUGUGUGGCUAAGGAUGUGAAGUCAUAGGAAUGCUAGUUUAGUGUUUAUCAGGUGUUUUGUUUUGUUUUGUUUUGAUAAAGUGGGGAGGAGGAAGGUGAGUCCUUUAUAUAAUUUAAUUCAACUAGCUAACAGUUGUGCUUUGUUUCUUAGAAUCAUUUUAGAAAUAGGUGCAAAGGAGGUAAUGCCAGCCUCAAACAACCACAAGCAUCCCAGUGGUCACAUUGAAUUAUGGACGGGUUAUGCUCUUAGCAUCGUAAUUUGCGUUAUGGAGCGUUUCCCCCCAGAUUAGAUGAAAAGCUGUCUUUUGCACGUGUUUACAAGAUGCUGUACAAAUUGGGCGCCCUUGAUUGCUACGUGUUGAGGAACUCCACUGUUUUCAAAUGGAUAUACUUUAUCGUCUGCAGUAAGUGGAUAGUCUUUGUCCUACUCUUUAAAAAAAA